ACCAAACUGAAAAUCCUGCUUCCCUCCCAUAACUCCUGUCAGCUUGUUAAGUGUUUCUGUUUAUACAAGCUCCAGAAUGAGCAUUGGUCUCUCAGGUUCUGACAAGACCCUGGCCUCCUAAGCUUGCUUUCCAGGGAAUCUCAGCAAACCACAAGAAGAAUCACUCUUCUUCCUUCUUUACCCAGUAUUUUGUUUUUAAAUACAAGACAAUUAACUGUUUCUCUUGAUGUUGAAAUGUUUUCUCUUGCAGAUCCCCCAGCGGCAGAGAGUUUAGCUGGGAAUACAGCUCUGGGACAAGGGGAGGCACACCCAGCCCGGCUCACUUCUGACCCUUUGCUGAACUCAGUCUUGCCCUUGCCCAAAUCAAGGGCUAAGCCAGAACUCAUUGUCAGCACAACCGUGUAGAGAGGAAGACUGCAGCUGGUCUAACUGCUAAGAAGUCUCUUGCCCUCAAAGCUCUGAAGCACCAACGCCUGAAUCCUUCCCUAGAAACAUGGACCCUCCUCUCAGGCCCAGUCAUGCCCACUGCCCAAGUCCAGCAACGAAGAGAAAGAGCUUGUUGUUCAUCGCCAAGUACCACUGAGAAGAGGAUGCUAGGAGACUUGCCUAUUGAGUGAGGGCUUCUCUCUCACAUGUCCUCAGCCUUCCUGUGUUGGAUGAGUCCAUGGAGUUCUGCAUAGGCUGAGUGAUUGUGUGCACAGGGCCUGACCCAUCAAAGAGCUAUGUUGUUCCUGCUGUUGUUGCUACGUCAGAGGCGAUGGAAGCUGAGUAGUCAAGGCCAUAGGGGGGAAAUGUCAUCAAGAUAGAAGUCAUCAUGUUUUAUGAACCAAAGACCCAUCAUGUGCACCCGGCCUAUCAUAUUGCAUAAUCCUGCUCACAUCACGGGAAUGGGACUUGUGGAGGGAAGCACACAACAGCCUUGCUUAUGGAAUGCCUACCCCUGGCCAAGCACAAGGGUGGAAUCUAAGGAUCAAAGCCAACACAGAAGAAACAACAGUGACACAUCUCAAAGACGUCCUGCUUGCUGAUGUGGCUGGAAUCACAGACGGAGAGAGAUGUGUGGACUACAGCCAUGAGGAGAGGCAUGCCAAGGAAGGUUGAGCUUAUACUAUCCACAAUGGCUACGUUCCGCAAUGCAAACGCUAAUAAAAAAAAUAUUCUGAGCACAGAGACAUGCUCAGAGGGCAGUGAAGCUCCUCUGUAUGAUACCAUAAAGGUGACUUUAGAUCCUUAUGCCCCAUCCAAAACCACAGAAUGCACAGCUUCAAGUCCAUGUAAACUGUGGGUGUCAAGCAACGAGGCUGGGCCAAUGUGGGCUCAGGGAUUGAAAAAGAAAUGUAUCACAUUGGUGGGUGAGGUUGAUACGGUGCACUGGAGCAUGGAACAUGGUAACAUUUGCUGCCCAACUUUACCGUGAGUCUAGAAAGUCUCUAAAAGUAGUCUAUUCAAAUACGGAGAAAGGAUGAGCUGAUUGGGGGUGUUAAUUAGAAAUGUAUGUUGAGAAAGAAACUAGAACGUCUGUCUAUCAGUAACAGUGGCUUGUGCCCAAGGUGGAAUAGAGGUGGAGGUGAAGAAGAUCCACAUCCCCAGGGCAAAGAGACCUGGGUCCAUUCCCCACUGCACUGAGGGCACAGUGCAAUAAACAUCAUUAUUGCUGUUCAA